UCACAAGUUGACCAAACUGGGAGUGCAUUUCCUUCAGGUCGCUCAAGCUCCCACUUCCUGUUUAUGUUUCACAAGCGUCAAACCCAUUAGCAAGUGUGAGAAAUGAUUGCUUUUCUAACUGUUCACUGGCUGACCUCACUUUGAGGCUUAGAGAUCCAUCCCUCCUCCCUGGACGGAUGUUAUUCGGCCGGUUAUCAUCAAUCUGUCUAGAAUGCCCCCACCUUCCUGCCAGGAGGUGGGCAGCAGGACCAGAGGCUAAGGCUUGGACAUUUUGUCACAGUGAAGAAAAGCUGACUGACACACCACCCACCCAAGAUUAAUUUUGCCUGUUGUUGCAAUGUGUCUUUGUCAGAACAAGAUCCAAGAAUGAAGCUGUGUGAGUGAAAUUCUGAGUGCUUGUGAAGAAACUCCAAGAAAACAGGACAAGAAUAUUGUGACCUCAGUUUCUCCAAAAACACAGAAUUGUUUUUGUAGUGUUUUCAUGCUUCUCCCCAGUGCAGCAGAUCGGAGUGAGUUCACUUUAGAUUAUUCAUCACAGCUGGCUAUUGUUACUUGUUUAUAUGCCUCUAUGGAAAAACACGUUGUUGCCAUGUGUGGCUUGCCCUUGUGAUUGUACACUUUACUCAUGUGAUUCUUCUUAACCCUCAGCGUAUAAAUUGUCUGAUGCUCUGAAUAA